rnacentral:rRNA from 1 species
UACGUAGGGGGCUAGCGUUGUCCGGAAUCAUUGGGCGUAAAGAGCGUGUAGGCGGUCCGGUAAGUCCGUUGUGAAAGUCAGGGGCUCAACCCUUGAAUGCCGGCGGAUACUGUCGGGCUAGAGUCCGGAAGAGGCGAGUGGAAUUCCCGGUGUAGCGGUGAAAUGCGCAGAUAUCGGGAGGAACACCUAUGGCGAAGGCAGCUCGCUGGGACGGUACUGACGCUGAGGUGCGAAAGCAUGGGGAGCGAACAGG